UAGCAUGUGGGAACGAUAACGCGCCAUAUUCGUGAGGAGAAUACCUAGAGCGUAAAAAUCACUUUUAUUAUUUAUACAGAUACGUUUUGGUUGUAUUCUUACUCUGUCUUCUAGCUUUAGCAUAGAUGAUUUUGGACUAGGAGUAGAUUUUGAGGUAAAUAUGUUUGAGGUUUUAGUUGCAAGGGCCAUCUUCUGUUGAUUGUAAAUAUUCAGGCAGGCCAGUUUGUUACAUGCUCAGAGUUAAUGUAACCAUUUGUUUGCAGAGAAAAUGAACAAAACCCCAUUUUGAUAAAUGCAUUUGGUAAAUUUGCACUAAAGUUUCUUGAUGCUGCAUUGAUCAACAGCCAUUAAGAAAUCUCCUGAUCAGAGACUUUGAACAUUUUUCUGUGUACUGAAAAGUACCUCUCUUCUGAUCUUGGAAUACUUUGAUCAAACAAUAGUUUUUCCUCCUAUUAAGAUUUACACAUCUUUUGUACUUGCUAAUCUACCUACUUUACGUCUGCCAAAAAAUACAGUUUAGACUUAAAAUAUUUUCCAGAACUAUGACUAUCAUAAAUGAGAAACAAAGACAUCGAGGCCAGCAAUUCUUGGUGUGUUAAGCAGCAGUCUGAAAUAGAGCAGCUACAGUCUCUCGGAGCCUGCCUUGAUCACAUUCAUUUAUUCGUUCAACACAUUUUUCUAGGGUCCAGGACCCACUGUUUAUACUAAACACUGUUCUAAGUGUUCAACCCAGAAUGUAUUCUGCUCCGAGACAAAACGAGUGUAGAAAUUCAGGAGUGUAAAUCCCGCCAGCCAGACUGGAUCUGAGGAAUUACCAGCAUAAAUGUCUGCAUGUCUGCUGAAGCCACGUGUUUCCUGAGGGUGGAGGCUGCAGCAGGAGUGAAAGAAAAGCUUUUUCGUCUUCCCAGGCACCAUUUCAUCUUUGGUCACCACUCCCGGGACCAGCAAAGGGUUGUACAGCGUGCUGCUGGGUCUCUCCCUAGAGCGGCUUUCCCGACGGUGAAGCUCUUCGUUUUAAAGUCUUUGCCAUUUGGGUGAGCUGGGAAUUUCCAAGUUCCUAAGUCCUGUCUUUUUUUAACAGCCCUUCCCUCUGCUUAGCUAUUUCCUCUCCCAUCUUCCUGUAAUCGGUGAGAAGAAAGCAGGCUGCACCUCUUGCACUUGGCUCAGAAGUCUCUUCAGCUGGCCAUCUGAAGUUUCUCUCCUGUGCUGUGUGCUUCCGGCCCCGC
rnacentral:lncRNA from 1 species